AACGAACGCUGGCGGCAGGCUUAACACAUGCAAGUCGAGCGCCCCGCAAGGGGAGCGGCAGACGGGUGAAUAACGCGUGGGAAUCUACCCAUCUCUACGGAAUAACGCAUGGAAACGUGUGCUAAUACCGUAUACGUCCUUCGGGAGAAAGAUUUAUCGGAGAUGGAUGAGCCCGCGUUGGAUUAGCUAGUUGGUGGGGGAAAGGCCUACCAAGGCGAUGAUCCAUAGUUGGUCUGGGAGGAUGAUCAGCCACACUGGGACUGAGACACGGCCCAGACUCCUACGGGAGGCAGCAGUGGGGAAUAUUGGACAAUGGGUGCAAGCCUGAUCCAGCCAUGCCGCGUGAGUGAUGAAGGCCCUAGGGUUGUAAAGCUCUUUCACCGGUGAAGAUAAUGACGGUAACCGGAGAAGAAGCCCCGGCUAACUUCGUGCCAGCAGCCGCGGUAAGAC
rnacentral:rRNA from 1 species